GACGAACGCUGGCGGUGUGCUUAACACAUGCAAGUCGAACGGCAACGCGCUGCUUUUGUGGCGUGCUCGAGUGGCGCACGGGUGAGUAUCACGUGAGUAACCUGCCCUUGACUUUGGGAUAACAUCAGGAAACUGGGGCUAAUACCGGAGAGGAGCUCCUGCUGCAUGGUGGGGGUUGGAAAGUUUCAUCGGUUGGGGAUGGACUCGCGGCUUAUCAGCUUGUUGGUGGGGUGGUGGCUUGCCGAGGCUUUGACGGGUAGCCGGCCUGAGAGGGUGACCGGCCACAUUGGGACUGAGAAAGGGAGCAGACUGCGAGGGGAGGCGGUAGUGGGGAGUAUUGCACAAUGGGCGGGAGCGUGAUGCAGAAGCGCCCCGUGCGGGAUGACGGCCUUCUGGGUGUGAACCGCAUUAGGCUGUGACGAAGCGCGAGUGACGGUAACGGGUGAAGAAGCACCGGCUAACUACGUG
rnacentral:rRNA from 1 species